rnacentral:rRNA from 1 species
UACGUAGGGUGCAAGCGUUGUCCGGAAUUAUUGGGCGUAAAGAGCUCGUAGGCGGCUUGUCGCGUCGACUGUGAAAACCCGCGGCUCAACCGUGUGGUCUGCAGUCGAUACGGGCAGGCUAGAGUUCGGUAGGGGAGACUGGAAUCCCUGGUGUAGCGGUGAAAUGCGCAGAUAUCAGGAGGAACACCGGUGGCGAAGGCGGGUCUCUGGGCCGAUACUGACGCUGAGGAGCGAAAGCGUGGGGAGCGAACAGG